GACGAGGGGUCCUAGCGUUGUUCGGAAUCAUUGGGCGUAAAGCGCGCGUAGGCGGCCCGGUAAGUCCGCUGUAAAAGUCAAAGGCUCAACCUUUGAAUGUCAGUGGAUACUGCCGGGCUAGAGUCCGGAAGAGGCGAGUGGAACUCCUGGUGUAGCGGUGGAAUGCGCAGAUAUCAGGAAGAACACCGACGGCGAAGGCAGCUCGCUGGGACGGUACUGACGCUGAGGCGCGAAAGCGUGGGGAGCGAACAGG
rnacentral:rRNA from 1 species